rnacentral:misc_RNA from 1 species
UUAAGUUCAGCGGGUAAUCCUGCCUGAUCUGAGGUCUAAUCUAAAGAUUUGACUAGAUGGAUUGGAAGCCUCUACUGUCAUCUACUGGUCGGCCACCCGAGGGUGUCCUCAGCGAAUAGUCUAUUACGCUGAGUCAAUCCGAAGUUCGAAAUUGAGAGGGCUAAUGUAUUACGACCGAGCAAGACAGAGCUUGCAGCGAU